AUUGAACGCUGGCGGAAUGCUUUACACAUGCAAGUCGAACGGCGGCACGGACUUCGGUCUGGUGGCGAGUGGCGAACGGGUGAGUAAUGUAUCGGAACGUGCCCAGUCGCGGGGGAUAACGUAGUGAAAAUUACGCUAAUACCGCAUACGAUCUAUGGAUGAAAGCGGGGGAUCGCAAGACCUCGCGCGAUUGGAGCGGCCGAUAUCAGAUUAGGUAGUUGGUGGGGUAAAGGCCCACCAAGCCAACGAUCUGUAGCUGGUCUGAGAGGACGACCAGCCCAACUGGAACUGAGACACGGUCCAGACUCCUACGGGAGGCAGCCGUGGGGAAUUUUGGACAAUGGGCGAAAGCCUGAUCCAGCAAUUCCGCGUGCAGGAUGAAGGCCCUCGGGUUGUAAACUGCUUUUGUACAGAACGAAAAGGUUUCUACUAAUACUAGGAGCUCAUGACGGUACUGUAAGAAUAAGCACCGGCUAACUACGUGCCAGCAGCCGCAGUAA
rnacentral:rRNA from 1 species